rnacentral:lncRNA from 1 species
AUGAAGAGGCUUGACUCAAUUAUAGGAAGAUAACUAAGAGGGUCUUGGAGAAAGAAGAUUGUGACUUGUAAGAGUUAUAGAAUCCAGGAACAAUAUCUGGACUACUUACAGUAGACUAAGUGAGAAGUAAGGGUGUUUUGACCCAGGGCAGUAGGAGUAGGGACAGAACCACAAUACACUUCAGACUUGAUGAUGGGUAGAUACGAGGGAUGAAGGGAAGAAGAAUCCUGGAACCAUUCUAGAACUUUAACCUACUGUGACAACUUAACUUUGGUGGGGAGUCAGAACUUUUGUGUUGGGGCAGGAGGAACUAAAGAGGUCAGAUGGAACUACCAAAAAAUACACACAGCUCAGAGAAAGGUCGGAGGAUACACAACAUGAAGAGUGUCUGCUUGCUUAGGAGCAGAGUGUCCUGUUUGCCCAGUAGACUAGGCUGUGCUUCACACCCAAGGAGCACUCCUGGCAGUGACCCUCUCAGGGAGUGAGUGUGUAAGCUGUGCCAUCCUCAACCCCCAAGUCGUGUGUACUCUCAUGAUCUGCGAAGUGAACGUUAUCUCCUUUUUUAUUGACGAGGCACACAGAGGGCAGCAUGGGACAGAGACAGGCUGGAAUCCAUCUCGGCGACUGCCCAGACCAGGGUGGCAGUGCGCAGGAGUCGAGUCUAGGAACAGCCCGGUGAUUUUAAUUUGGUGCUUGUGCCAAGGCCAGGUUCCAGUCAAAACUGGAGAGCGAGCAGGUGAGACAAGUGAGACUGGACCGGUAGAGAUGGUUCGCUUAGCGCAAUGUGUCCACUUCCAGGUGUUCUCUCCAGAUGUGGCCAGACAGACCACAUGCACAUGGCUGCCUGGACGCUCUGGAGGGGCUUUUCACACACAGUGUGCUCACCAGCGAAUGUGUGUACAGAGAAAAGGAUGCCAAGAAGGGUCAGCUGCAACUGCUGUCCAGGUUGUUAGGCAAAACUUCUUGAUUGGCUGGAAAAAAUACACAAAUCUCAAUUUUCAAGAUUAUCUAUUAAAAUUAAAUCCUGCAGAAAAGACACUGAAUCUUUGUAAAAUGUUUUUUUGGGCAGAGCCAUGCUAGGGAUUGAACCCAGGACCUCCACACUGAGCUAUGUCUUCCACCCCACUCCCACUUUUGAGACAGUCAUAUGAAAUCACUAAGAUGCUCUACUAGGCUGGAACUUGCAGUCUUCCUUCCUCAGCUUCCCAGAGGCUGAGAUUAGAGGUGUGCACCAUCAUGCCCAACUAAAAUGCCUUUUUCCUUUAUCUGCACAUGUGUGUUCACAAGGCAUCUCCUCAUUCUCACACUCAGACACAUUGCUAGAGUAAGGUUGUGUCCAACAUAUCCAGAAACAAACUGGAAAAUGAAGCAGCUCCCAGAGGACAUGUCUCUGCAGGAUUUCAAAUACAACACUCCGUCUCUGCUGCUCAUCGCCAUGUCUCGGGUUUUCUUCCCAGAUUGUACCAAAACAGUGCCAGGACUUGCAUGGAAAUGAGAUAAGAACACUCCAGGCAGAGCACCCAGCAGGGGACACAGGACAUACAGCGAGUGGACAGUGACCAUGACAGGAAAAAUUCAGAAUGAAAAGGGAAAUAGCAGCGAAAGUUUUUGAAAGAAUGGGUAGAGUCAGAUCAUUCGGGCCUGGGGUUUAGGACAGUUAACCUGUGCUUUAAACAUCAAGAAUCAUGGCAGGUUUUUGUAGCAAAAGUAACACGACCAGAACUUUGCUCCAGGAAGAUAAACACAGCAGGUGUGUGAAGUAUUCAAAGUAGGGAGAAA